CACAUCAACCAUGACCUUCAUCUCCAUCUUCAUCUGCACACUGGCUCUCUGCACUCAAGGAUCCAGAGGUCAGGUGACUGUGACUCAGAGUCCUGCAGUAAAACAUGUUGAUCCAGGAGCUUCAGUCACCAUCAACUGUAAAACCAGUUCUAAUGUUUACUCUGAUAGCCACGGUCAGCGUUUAGCCUGGUAUCAGCAGAAACCUGGAGAAGCUCCUAAACUCCUGAUUAAAUUUGUAAAGCAGUUACUACCAGGUAUUCCAGAUCGUUUCAGUGGCAGUGGAUCUGGAUCUGACUUCACUCUGACCAUCAGUAGAAUUGAGACUGGAGAUGCAGGAGAUUAUUACUGUCAGAGUUACCAUUAUAUCAACAGCAGUUGGAUCUACACUUUUGGUGGAGGAACCAAACUCAGUGUCACCGGUCCCACGGUGAAGCCGUCCGUGUCUCUGCUCCCUCCCUCCUCUCUGCAGCUGUCUGAGGGAUCGGCCUCGCUGCUCUGCCUGCUGUCUGGUUACUCUCCACAGGGGGCGCUGGUGAGCUGGACGGUGGACGGUACAGUGCUGCAGGACGGGGUGGUGACCGGAGCAGAAGAACUGAAAGGGGGCAGUUGGAGGCGUGGCAGCACCCUGACCCUCACCAAAGCACAGUGGGAAAAGGGGGAGGAGUUUGGCUGUAAGGUCUCUCACGGUGGCGUCGAUCAUCCCGUCGUAUUCAGAAAGAACCAGUGUGAAGGCUAGCAGCUCCCAGAUAGAACUGAACAUGGAGACACUUCCACAUGCUUCUACAAUGGAGUUUCAGUUCUACACAAUGCUGCAUUUCUGUCUUUCCUCUGUUCAGUGUCCUGUUGCUCUUCCUGUAGUUUUGCUGUGCUGAAAUAAAGCUUGAUUUUGGA